rnacentral:lncRNA from 1 species
AUGAGAAUGUUUAGUAGGCACCUACUGUGUGCGGCCCUGGGCUCCGGAAGCAGCUGCCGCCCUGGGGGGGGGGGGGGGGGAAGUGUCCUGCAGCCUGUGAUUGAGCUCCCCGAGUGGGGAAAGUCCCUCCAUCCAGAGGAGCCCAUCUUGGAGCACAGCUGGGGGGGGGGGGGGGGGGGGGGAGACCUGGUUCUAGGACUCUCCUGUCCUUGUGUCCAUGUCAUUCCCCUGCCGGAGGGGGAGGGGCUCGCACCCGGCUGCAGUGGGCCUGGAGGCAGCCACGGAGAGGCUGAGGCCGAGUGGGGGGAGGUUAUGGAGGCCAAGUGGAGGCAGCCAGGCAGGGGUGGCCCCUCCAUGUUCCCGGCAAACUCCGGGCUUUGGUCCCCGAGACGUAGAGAUCGAGUGUGGCCUCCGUGGCCCCCAGAAUACGCACCCACCGUGGAGCCGGGGAGAAGGGCCCCCUUGUCCCGAUCCCACCCUGGUGGCCCCCAGGAUGCUUUGCACAAAAUCCCCCUUGGCUUGGAGCGCCUGGCUCCUCCAGAGCUUCAGACUAAGUGCAGCCGCGUACACACAGUAGGUGUGCGGGGCAAGUAUCCGUCUGUUCCAAUCAUGUGCCGCCCUGGCCUCUUGGGUUCCGCUCGAGGGAGGCAGCCCCAGACCCAGCCCUUCUGGGCCCAGCACCGUUUGGGAGCCAUUUCCCACAAUCCCCAGGAAAGUCCGGAGCUGCACCCCACUGCCUGCUCUCCUUCCACGAGGCCCCGCCCCAGCCGACCCCUGUUACCCAGGCCUGACAGUGGCCACUCAGAGGGAAUGGCGCCUGGCACCCAGGAGCAUCAUGGGAGUAAGUGGCCAAGGUCAAGCUGCUGCAGGAGUCAUGAAGGGGAACUUGGCUCUCCUGGUCCCAGUGCUCUGGAGUCCAAUAGAAGCCGUUCCCGCCCCCAUUCUUGGGCCACCUUCAUGCCCCACCAGGUGGUCAAAGAGGAUCCUCCCGGGGCAUGGAGCACUCCCUGUGGUGCUCAGUCUCUCCAGCAUGCUGCUGCUUCCCAAGCUCUGCCCCCGCCCCCAGUGUGA